rnacentral:rRNA from 1 species
AUAACUAAGCGGAGGAAAAGAAACCAAAUGGGAUUCCCUUAGUAACGGCGAGCGAACAGGGAAAUGUCCAGCGCCAAGUCUUGACAUUUAAAAGUGUUCAAGAGAUGCGGCGUUAAUGUGUUGGCGCAUCUUGCAUUAUUUUAAAUUCCAAGUUCCAUUGACUGGGACUUCCAGAGCGGGUGCUAGGCCCAUAGGAAUUUUGAAUCAAUGUAAGCCGGUCAUCACAUUCUAGAGUCAGGUUGCUUGAGAGUGCAGCUUAAAGACGGUGGUAAACUCCAUCCAAGACUAAAUAUGACAGCGAGACCGAUAGCAAACAAGUACCGUGAGGGAAAGUUGCAAAGCACUUUGAAGAGAGAGUUCAAUAGUACGUGAAACCACUGUCAGGCAAACAGAUGGAACCACGAAGUUGCGCCCUGAUCGAUUCAGUCAAUUCCAUUGGCCAACAGGUGUUGAUUGUUUGAAUCUUUUCGAAGAUUACAUCAAUGCCGUUUAGAACUAAUGGAAUUGGUGCAUUUCGUUUUAGGGAUGCUAAGCCACGUUCGACCAGAUAGUUGGGAUGGCUGUAGGACAGGAUUYGAGAAAGGUARUUGUCAAGUGUUUAUCAUUUGAUGAUGUUAUAGUCUCGAAUCGGAACCGUCGCCAAACAUACUGGUCGAUAUAAAUACUCCGAAUUUGGAGUGAAAAAAUAAUGUAAUAGCCUUCAAACAUAUAGAGAAUUUAUUGGCAAGUUUUUGCCGUAUUAUUUUGAUACGUCAAAGCUUGCUAUUAUAAUAUUGUCUAUUGUUGAUUGCGUUUUACAUUAAAAAACUGUGGCACGAGUAGGUCGGUGUCCAUCUGACCCGUCUUGAAACACGGACCAAGGAGCCUAUCAUAUACGCAAGUCGCUCGGUCUUGUUUAGGCCCGGGAGGCGAAAUGAAAGUAAUGUUAUGAGACAUUUAGUCGCAAUAGCGGCCCGCCUACUCCGUUUAUUGGCGGUCGGGCGGAGCUGGAGCGUAUACGAUGGUACCCGAAAGAUGGUGAACUAUGCCUGGGCAAGACGAAGCCAGAGGAAACUCUGGUGGAGGUCUGUAGCGAUUCUGACGUGCAAAUCGAUCGUCAGACCUGGGUAUAGGGGCGAAAGACUAAUCGAACCAUCUAGUAGCUGGUUCCCUCCGAAGUUUCCCUCAGGAUAGCAGGCGCUCAMUUUAGUUCAGUCUCAUCCGGUAAAGCUAAUGAUUAGAGGUCUUGGGGUUGAAACGACCUCAACCUAUUCUCAAACUUUAAAUGGGUGAGAUGGUCGACUUGCUUGAUAUAUUUGAAGCCGACCAUUAGGAUGAGAGUGCCUAGUGGGCCAUUUUUGGUAAGCAGAACUGGCGCUGUGGGAUGAACCAAACGUCGAGAUAAGGCAUCUAAUGCAUACGCUCAUCAGACCCCAUAAAAGGUGUUGGUUGCUAUAGACAGCAGGACGGUGGCCAUGGAAGUCGGUAUCCGCUAAGGAGUGUGUAACGACUCACCUGCCGAAGCAACUAGCCCUGAAAAUGGACGAUGCUGUAGCGUGGAGCCGAUACUCGACCGUGAUGAUGAUGCUAUUUUAAGAGAAUGAGAUAUCAUCACGAGUAGGAGGGCCGCAAUGAUAGCGUGGAAGGUGUUGGGCGUGAGCCUGCCUGGAGCUGUCAUUGUUGCAGAUCUUGGUGGUAGUAGCAAAUACUCAAGUGAGAAUCUUGAGGACUAACGUGGAGAAGGGUUCCAUGUGAACAGCAGUUGGACAUGGUUCAGUCGGUCCUAAGGAGUCAGAGAAAUCUGUUACAACGGCUCGGUAAAAUUUAUAUUUUUAAUGAUUCCGAAGCUGACCAUCUCCGAAAGGGAAUCAGGUUAAUAUUCCUGAACUGAGACAAGGGGGAUGUGUAUUAGUACACUAGUGCGGUAACGCUAACAAAUUCGGAGACAUCGGCAAUAGUCCUGGGAAGAGUUGUCUUUUCUCUAUAAGGCUGUUCGAAUCCAUGAAAACAGAUUGUCUGGAGAUAUGGAUGUUGACGCCGAAGAGCUCAGCGGUUCUUGCUGAGUCCGGUGCGCUGUUGUCGGUCCUUGAAAAUCCGAAGGCGAUAUUUACCCCUUUGCUCAGCCGUACCAAUAUCCGCAGCAGGUCUCCAAGGUUAACAGCCUCUAGUUUCUAGAAUAAUGUAGGUAAGGGAAGUCGGCAAAACUGAUCCGUAACCUCGGGAUAAGGAUUGGCUCUGAAGGAUGGGCCGUUCGGGCUGUGUACAGAAACAGGUAAUACAUUGGCUAGGACUGGACGCUUCACGGUGAUCGGGCCUGUGUCGAUGUUGGCCUGCGGAAGUUCAUGGCUACGCCCCUGGGCCCUGUGUUUGGGGUGUCGUUUUCGGGCGGCAUUCAACAUCCGAAUCAGAACUGGCACGGACCCCGGGAAUCCGACUGUCUAAUUAAAACAAAGCAUUGCGAUGGCCGGCGAUCGGUGUUGACGCAAUGUGAUUUCUGCCCAGUGGUAUGAAUGUCAAUGUG